rnacentral:rRNA from 1 species
GACGAACGCUGGCGGCGUGCUUAACACAUGCAAGUCGAACGGAAAGGCCCUGCUUUUGUGGGGUGCUCGAGUUGCGAACGGGUGAGUAACACGUGAGUAACCUGCCCUUGACUUUGGGAUAACUUCAGGAAACUUGGGCUAAUACCGGAUAGGAUCUCCUGCUUCAUGGUGGGGGUUGGAUAGUUUCGGCGGUUGGGGAUGGACUCGCGGCUUAUCAGCUUGUUGGUGGGGUAGUGGCUUACCAAGGCCUUGACGGGUAGCCGGCCUGAGAGGGUGACCGGCGACAUUGGGAAUGAGAAACGGCACAGACUCCUACGGGAGGCAGCAGUGGGGAAUAGUGAACAAUGGGCGGAAGGCUGAUGCAGCAACGACGAGUGCGGGAUGACGGACUUAGGGUUGUAAACCGCUUUCGCCUGUGACGAAGCGUGAGUGACGGUAAAGGGUAAAGAAGAACCGGCUAACUACGUG